rnacentral:lncRNA from 1 species
AGAUCAGGCUGGCCGUCUUAGCCCGGCAACCGCUUUUCAUCCCUUAACCACACAGGGUCCGUGCUGAGACGAGAUCCAGCAGUAUCGCCAGGGUUCCUCGUAGACGAUCAGGUUUCCAGACACUGCGUUUUCUUGGACCUCAUCUCUCGUCAGUUGCCACCACUGGCUGAGUGUAUAAUGGAACUUUGAAUCCGUUUGCUGUACUAAUGGGGAGUGCACGUGAGUGAUGGGACGGUCUCCCCAGAGGCCAUGCAUUUCUGCAUCUGAGAUUAUCUGAUCAAAGUAAAAAAUACCUGCAUGGUCACCCCUACUCCCUAUGAUCAAUUGUAGCUAAUGACACAUUUCAUGGCUUGUCUCCUGUCCUAAAUAUGGCAAUAAAUAACUGGACUAGGAACUGAUUUAAAAGUCUCUGGAAAAGCAUCAGCACAGAGUCCCUGUGAACUACUGUUUUAAGCCUCACGACAGAGGCUUUCUCUCAGUUUACUCCAUGCCCCUUAUGGUUUAAACAAUUGCAGUUGCUACCUCCUUGGAUCUUCAGCAAAUAUCCAUAAAUGCGGGAUUGUUAUCUGGUAAGAAAUUGAGAAUUAGAAGGAUAAAUCAGUUUGCUCAAAAUUGAGCAAGACUAGAAAUUCCUAUCGUGGCUCAGCAUGUUAAGAACCCGACAGAGUCUGCGUGAGGAUGGAGGUUUGAUCCCUGGACUUGCUCAGUGGGUUAAGGAUCCAGCAUUGCCUCGAGUAGCAGCAUAGGUCACAGAUGCGGCUCAAAUACCAUUUUGCUGUGUUUUACAAGAAUCACAGAGAGACAAUUUGGACUUGGAUAGAUCAUCCCACAACCUGUAGUGCUAUUUGGAAUGGGGAGGUCGAGAAUAGGAAAGCUCAGUGACCGCUGAGUGACACAUUUAUUUUUAGUUACAAGUGAAUUUUCAAUGGGCUUUUGAUAAUUGAAAUCCCUUGGGACAAAAACUGGAAGUAGAAAAAAGAAAUCUUCCAUUAUCUGAAAUGCUUUUUUUUUUCUUUUCUUUUCUUCCUUUCUUUUUUUUUUUUUUUUUUUUUUUCCUUUUUUUUUUUUUUUUUUUUUUUUUGUGGAUGACCUGUGGGCCACUUUUUUGGUGUGUCUGAAAAUAAGAGGGGGCUCUUCAUAGAGCUGAGAGUGCAGCAAUCAUAGCGGGCUGCCUGAAUAGAUGUACUAAACCUUCGGGGCUGGAACAAGACAGGAUGAUGACUGAGACGUGGUCUGCAAGCUUGGGAGGAUCACGUCCAUACAAGUUUAAGUGUACUUAUUUACGUAGAUAGAUACUGGCUAGAUCACAGAUUGAAUUAUACUGCACGGAUUUUUGUGACCCCUUUUGCAUAAACAUAUUUUAGGAAAUCAAUUUCAAUAGCCUCAGAGAGAAAUAAACCCAAGCCUGAAACAAAAGGAAAAGUUUCGUUGUGGAUAAAGUCAUAUUGAGAUUCCUAUUAUAAACCAAGAGGAGGUAUUGAGUAGAGAGGUGGAAGUUCUAGGAAGAGCAAAGAAUGGAAUUGGAAUAGCCCCAUGCAGACAAGGCCCAGGUAGAAGAGGGAAAGAUGGCAAUGCCAAGGUCUGCUACAACCCAGCCAUGAUUGUCGGCUGUAGUGCCGGAAGCACAGACAACAGAAGCAGAUAUAGACAAAGGGGAUUGCAUCAAACUGAAGAUGUUCUGCCCCGCGAUGGAAACAAUCAACAGAGUUAAAAGGCAGCCUAAUAAACAGAGAAAAAUCUUUGCAAAUUGUACGUCCGGUAAUGUAUGAGUAUCCAAAAUAUAAGAGGAAUCCCUAUACUUUAAUAUCAAAAAUCCAAAAUUAUCAGAUUAAAUAAUGGGCAAAGUACUUGAACAGACAUUUUCCUAAAAAGAUAUACGAGUAACUAAAGGUAUAUAAAAAAAUCAUCAACAUUGCUAAUCAUCAGGGAAAAGCAAAUCAAAACCCCAAUACAUCAUCACCUUAUAGCUAGAAUGGCUGUUAUCAAAGAGACAAAAGUUAACAAGUAAGAAUGUGUUUGUGCUUUGGUUUGUUUUUUUGAGUUCUCUAUUCUGGAGGGAGAACAUCAGAGUGGGAAAGGCAAGGUUGUCUAGUGUAGAUUUGUAUUGAUCUGUGGCUCUACCAAUUAUCUCUGCUAUGGCCUUGAGCGAGACAUUGAACUGCCUAGUUCCUCAUGUAUAAAAUGGGUACAUAGUAUCCACUCUGCAGGUAGGAUAAAAUGUACAUAAGGUAUAGAGGUCUAGAAUAAAUGUGGUGCUAGAUAAAAUGUAACUGAUAAAAGUUAUUGUUUAUUGAAUGCUUACUACGUGGCAGUUACUGUCUUAAUAAUUUACAAAUAUUUACUCUCUUAUUCUUCAUAACAACUCUCUCACAUGCAUACUGUUGUAAUUGCCAUUUUACAGAAGAAGAAAUCGAGAUUCAUAGAGGAAAUGCGACUUCCUUUUAACUAUACAGCUAAGGUGGUAAAAUUGGUUUUCAAACUCAGGCAGUCUUUCAAAGUCUUUGAAAUCUACCCAUACUGUUAAGUUCUAGCAUCUUUUUGGCUUCUAUCAGCUGUGCCUAUGCCUGCCUUGGUUUCAAAUUGCAGUAAUCUAAAAGUCAGCAAGAAGACAAAGAGAGGAAUUUGUGUUUAUUCUCAAGGAAAAAAAGACUUUUAAGAAUGCCAAUGUGUUUUUAUAAUGUAAGACAUUCAAUGAGAUGGGGUAUACUCAUAGUUUGAAAACUGCAAGUUUUAUUUUAAGUCGUGAAACAGAUGCAUUUAAAAUUUCAGACUUGGAAAAUGAAACUUUGAAGCAGGGAAAUUGUUCCUGUGUACAGCAAUGAAAAGGAAUCAGGGAGAGUUAAAUAAAGCCGUGAAAAAUUAAA